GAUGAACGCUGGCGGCGUGCUUAACACAUGCAAGUCGAACGGAAAGGCCCAAGCUUGCUUGGGUGCUCGAGUGGCGAACGGGUGAGUAACACGUGGGUGAUCUGCCCUGCACUUUGGGAUAAGCCUGGGAAACUGGGUCUAAUACCGGAUAGGACCAUCGUUUAGUGUCGGUGGUGGAAAGUUUGUCGGUGUGGGAUGAGCUCGCGGCCUAUCAGCUUGUUGGUGGGGUAAUGGCCUACCAAGGCGUCGACGGGUAGCCGGCCUGAGAGGGUGUACGGCCACAUUGGGACUGAGAUACGGCCCAGACUCCUACGGGAGGCAGCAGUGGGGAAUAUUGCACAAUGGGCGCAAGCCUGAUGCAGCGACGCCGCGUGGGGGAUGACGGCCUUCGGGUUGUAAACUCCUUUCGCCAAGGACGAAGCGUUUUGUGACGGUACUUGGAGAAGAAGCACCGGCUAACUACGUG
rnacentral:rRNA from 1 species